CCUACGGGUGGCAGCAGUGGGGAAUAUUGGGCAAUGGAGGAAACUCUGACCCAGCAACGCCGCGUGAAUGAUGACGGUCUUCGGAUUGUAAAGUUCUUUUCUAAGGGAAGAAGAAAGUGACGGUACCUUAGUAAUAAGCCUCGGCUAACUACGUGCCAGCAGCCGCGGUUAUACGUAGGAGGCAAGCGUUAUCCGGAAUGACUGGGCGUAAAGGGUGCGUAGGUGGUUUGAUAAGUUGGUAGCGUAACUCCGAGGCUCAACCUCGGCACUACUACCCAAACUGUCGGACUUGAGUGCAGGAGGGGCAAGUGGAAUUCCUAGUGUAGCGGUGGAAUGCGUAGAUAUUAGGAGGAACACCAGUGGCGAAGGCGAGUUGCUGGACUGUAACUGACACUGAGGCACGAAAGCGUGGGGAGCAAACAGGAUUAGAUACCCGAGUAGUC
rnacentral:rRNA from 1 species